GGCUGCGAUCAUACCAGCACUAAUGCACCGGAUCCCAUCAGAACUCCGCAGUUAAGCGUGUUUGGGCGAGAGUAGUACUAGGAUGGGUGACCCCCUGGGAAGUCCUCGUGUUGCAACCC
rnacentral:rRNA from 1 species